AUCCACCAAAAGGUGGACGUUGAACAAGAGCUUCUCUUCUUUGAACACGGGAAAUCACAGCUGAUGAAACAAAAGACUCAGCCAUUCUUGGUGUCCCAGCUUAAUCACACUCAAAUCACUCUUGCUCCUAACCCGGUGAUAGAAUAAAUUCCCUAUAGGGUUACCUACCCUAAGGCGCGCAUCUCCUCUUUGAAAGAGUCAAUUGCCGCUCAAAGCAGUGAAACCAAGGAAAGCUGUCUAGCAGUCAACAAGGGAAUAUUGCACCCCCAAUCUCGAUCUACCACCGGUUUCAUUUCGUGGUCUUUCCACUCUAAUCCGCUGUGUUCUUAGCGUGCGUGAUCCGGUGCGUGCGCCACUCGUUCAAUAUUUUCUAUAAGAAAAGCUUCCAAUCUCAUAUUUCGGCAUAUUCAGUUUCCGCUCUUUAAGUUCAGAUCAGUAGGAUAGGGGCUGGUCGUCUUUUCUUAGCUGGUCUUACUGGUCCAGUCGUCGUUCAAUGAGCUCAACUAUGAACGAAAGCUAGAGGUUUGCCUUAAAAGCAUCUCCAGUAAGUUCUUCUGGUUGGAUUGGAUCAUUAAAAGCAAAAUGUGAGGAGCAAUGUUCUUGGCCGCUGUUCAGGUCAAAGUGGAAAUCCGGGUUCGGGGAACCUGAUAUUAAAGUGAAUAGUCACUCUCAUCUUUACUAACCUUAUACUUAGAAGUGGACCAUAUGGAAGUGAUUCCUGAGUUCCUUCGCACAGGGUUUGAAUUGAAGUAGUUAAGUAAGUUUUGUCUACAUCUUCUCUGCAAUUACAAUUACACCAGGAUCAAGGCCCUUCUGAGAUUUAGGCCUCCAUACCUUCCUCAACUUGCUGCCAAUCAUCAUUCGAUACCUCUUUCUUCUUGCGCUGAGGGAAAAGAACUGCAGCAUGUCCAAACAACCCACAGAAGGAGCAUGGUAGAGAUCUUCUUUCAUACUCUACCAGUUGAUCAAUGUUACGCGAUCCUUGGAGCACAAUCGAAAUAGAAGAAGGAAGUUUCAAAUCUCGAAAAACCUCAAUACACAGCCUCGCAAAAGCAAGCUUAUCCAUCCGUCGAGUCGAUUCAUCCACUUUGAUGAGGUGAGGGGAAAGAAUGCCACCGUAAUGGCCGGUUGUGCCAUGGGGCUUCCUAGACUCGGAUGCUAGCCUGAUGAAAUCCAUUGGAAAGCCCUGUGACAACCCUGGAUCCUGUGCUGCAGCUAGGGGUCUUGCUCGAGAUAAUGAAAUUCUGAAGUUGGCUGCUCGCUCCUAAUGGAGCCGAUCUUCACUUCAAGGGGGCGGAUCAGAAGUUCCAAAUUGUUUGGAUGUUGCUGGGCAGCAGUCGUUGAAGCGGCGUAGGCAGGAAAGAGAAGAUGUCGCGGGUUUGAGAAUAAGCUGUUUUUUGAACAAAAAGGUUAUUUUGUGGAAUUGAAUCAGAAUAAGCGAAAGAAAGUAGCAUAGGGCAGAUUCCAGGUAUGCUAAAAGGAUAUCUGAGUUCACAGGCGCAGUUGUGUAUCCCCGUCUUCAUUGAGAUUCGGUUUGUGUUCAGUCAGUCAGGAAAGCGACUCUUUUCUUUUUCACCGGGUGUGGCGAUCCGAUCCCAGUUGAUUGAUCUCGACUUUACCAGCUCAUGAACGGCAUUCGUCAGACUUGAGCAGUAGGUUUCGACUCGGUCAGCUGUCUUGAUGAAGAUUGACUUCAGCCAAAGAGAAUGAAUUGACUUAGGGUUCGCACCCUAUGUGCUCUCAUGCUUUUUUUCUCCGUGCCACGGCGCGAUAUUGAUGAUCUGUUAAAUCAUGCACCCCCCCGUGCUUCUGCAGCAGCAUAUAAUCUCGGUCCCUUACCUUGAUGCCUACAGCUCAAUUUGUUCCGAUGAGCGCCUCGAAAUUUAGGCCUCAGGUUAGACAAAGAGAAAUAUAGUGGGGGAGAUGUCAUAUAGUAAUCAUUAACACAAGAUUGGAAUUUUUCCGCUAAAAUAAGGGAGAAAGGAUGGGAUUGACUGCUUGGCUUUGAAUAGAUUCGAUAGAUUAGGUAUAACGAAAGGAAAGCCGGAUACUAUACGAAAUUAUUAACAUAUCUCCUUGGGGAGUCGAACCCACCGCAUAGGAGCGUCAAUCCACUCUCAAACCGUGAGCUCAUAAGCCGUUGGUUCCACUCUCUCAUAUACGUCAUUUUACGAUCUUUUUGUGACGGCUGGGUCUUGACCUAGCUACCGAACUGACUUAAUGAAAUGGUAGACGUGGCCAAAGGGGGGUCGAUCUUAUAUUACUCAGGGAGCUUCAGAUCAAGUUCUUGCAGCUGAACAUGCUUCGGGACAUCGACCCUACUGCAGAAUCGGAAGGAGAACUUUAGGCAUUGGUCACAUCUGCCUUUCUUUAAGGUGUCGGAAGUAGGGUUUGGAAAGAACUCUCGCCCAGCUUCUUUGAUUAGAUCCGUUUUGUUUUAAAGGCAGAUGCCAUGAAAGAGUCUGGCUAAGAGCCAACGACGGAGACUGUAGUUUAUUUAGCUUUCCAACCCGCGGAUUCUUAUCUAUAUGAAUAUGCCCCUCCUUUCCGGUUCAGACUAAUUAGAAAGGGUCGGUACCGUUGAUCUGUCUUUCUGAAGUCUUUCAUCUCUCUUUGUAAGGUCAAUGAAUGAAAGUGCUUGUUUAGCUUUAGUCUUUAUUCGCGGAGUAGCGCUUCAAAGCUCGUAAGUAACUUAGCUAGCCUUGAGGCUUAAAGAAGGACUGAGCACCUUCUUUUCUUUUUGGUAUCCCCAAUCUAUAGUCUAGUUAAAAGCUGUCAAAGACCCGAAUGGAUCGGGGCAGGCCAACCUAGCGAAAUGUUCUUUUAGCAAUCCCUCCCCCAAUUCUGCAUGCCCUAAUUUGACCCCAGCUACCACUGAUCGAACCCUAGAUGGCAUUGAUCUGAACACCUUGACCUUGGUGGGAUAAGAUCGUUGGAACCUUAGAAAGGUCUCCGUUUACAUGAUCAGUAAUAUA
rnacentral:lncRNA from 1 species